ACGGAAGGCAGCAGCUAAGAAUAUUCCGCAAUGGACGAAAGUCUGACGGAGCGACGCCGCGUGGACGAUGAAUGUCGGAAGAUUGUAAAGUCCUUUUAUGGCAGAGGAAUAAUCAGCGGAGGAAAUGCCGCUGAGGUGACUGUAGGCCAUGAAUAAGCACCGGCUAAUUACGUGCCAGCAGCCGCGGUAACACGUAAGGUGCAAGCGUUGUUCGGAAUUAUUGGGCGUAAAGGGCAUGUAGGCGGAAUUGCAAGUCUGGAGUGAAAUCCCUGAGCUUAACUCAGGAACUGCUUUGGAAACUGCAUAACUAGAAUCACUGAGGGGGAGCCGGAAUUCCAGGUGUAGGGGUGAAAUCUGUAGAUAUCUGGAAGAACACCAAUGGCGAAGGCAGGCUUCUAGCAGAUGAUUGACGCUGAGGUGCGAAGGUGCGGGGAGCAAACAGGAUUAGAUACCCUGGUA
rnacentral:rRNA from 1 species